AACAAAAUAACAAAUUUUAUUUACCUGAGUGCAUAACGGGCUGACAACUCGCUCAGAAAUUGACAACCGGAGGCGUCUUGUGUGUACGGAUACGUUCGCAAGGGGGCUUAUUAAUAGCUGUGAGGCUAUCAAUGGAGAGAGCAUUCUCAAUCGAAGUCGGUUGUGCACAUAAAAUGUAUAGUCAAAGGCUUUGCAAACUUGCCGUCAGAAUAAUAGACGGUCUCUGUGAGACAAUAAGCCCAUAAGCUGUGAGCUGGUGCUUGCAAGCCAAUGUGGGUAAUACCAAAACAAUCUGAUAAUCACGUUGAAAUAAGGCAAGAAGCAAGAAAGAGUAGCAUAAAUCGUGAAACAAAAUUUUGCUGAAAGUCAUGUGAAAUUUGCGGGCAUUAAUCUCGCAUAGGAUACAAACGGGUAAGAAGCUUGUGGGUCGCUCCUGCAAGCUCAGCCUUAUCCGCCUAGUGGCUGAAUAUGAUUAGAAUUUUAUGUGUAAAGCGAAAGCUUGAAUAGAAUUUGUUGUUUUG
rnacentral:sRNA from 12 species